UACGUAGGGUGCGAGCGUUAAUCGGAAUUACUGGGCGUAAAGCGUGCGCAGGCGGUUUUGUAAGCCAGAUGUGAAAUCCCCGGGCUUAACCUGGGAAUGGCAUUUGGGACUGCAAGGCUGGAGUGCGGCAGAGGAGACUGGAAUUCCUGGUGUAGCAGUGAAAUGCGUAGAUAUCAGGAGGAACACCAAUUGCGAAGGCAGCUCGCUGGGACGUUACUGACGCUGAGACGCGAAAGCGUGGGGAGCAAACAGG
rnacentral:rRNA from 1 species